rnacentral:rRNA from 1 species
UUGAACGCUGGCGGCAUGCCUUACACAUGCAAGUCGAACGGCAGCACGGGUGCUUGCACCUUGGUGGCGAGUGGCGAACGGGUGAGUAAUACAUCGGAACGUACCUUAUCGUGGGGGAUAACGCAGCGAAAGUUGCGCUAAUACCGCAUACGCCCUGAGGGGGAAAGCGGGGGACCGUAAGGCCUCGCGCGAUUAGAGCGGCCGAUGUCUGAUUAGCUUGUUGGUGAGGUAAAAGCUCACCAAGGCGAUGAUCAGUAGCUGGUCUGAGAGGACGAUCAGCCACACUGGGACUGAGACACGGCCCAGACUCCUACGGGAGGCAGCAGUGGGGAAUUUUGGACAAUGGGGGCAACCCUGAUCCAGCAAUGCCGCGUGAGUGAAGAAGGCCUUCGGGUUGUAAAGCUCUUUUGUCAGGGAAGAAACAGCAGCUCUAACACAGUCUGCGAAUGACGGUACCUGAAGAAUAAGCACCGGCUAACUACGUGCCAGCAGCCGCGGUAAUACGUAGGGUGCGAGCGUUAAUCGGAAUUACUGGGCGUAAAGCGUGCGCAGGCGGUUAUACAAGACAGGCGUGAAAUCCCCGGGCUUAACCUGGGAAUGGCGUCUGUGACUGUAUAGCUAGAGUGUGUCAGAGGGGGGUGGAAUUCCACGUGUAGCAGUGAAAUGCGUAGAUAUGUGGAGGAACACCAAUGGCGAAGGCAGCCCCCUGGGAUAACAC